GGGUAAAAUAGGAAAAACCAGAAAAACUCUCACGCGAACGUUUCUCUCGUCGGUCUCUCCUCGGAUCCAAAUCUUCGCUGAUCUUUUUGCUAGAUUCAAGCUUCGAAACCCUAAUUUGUUUCGCCAUUAGCAUCAACUUCAGCUCAACUUCAGAUUCAAGGAGGCACAAUUAGUAGCUCCUGAAGUGCUUGGGUGAUCAGAUACAAUGUCAGCUUUGUUCAAUUUCCAUUCAUUCCUGACGGUGGUGCUGCUUGUGAUCUGCACUUGCACUUAUCUGAAGAUGCAGUUCCCUGCUAUUUUGGAGCA